CCCAGACUCCUACGGGAGGCAGCAGUGGGGGAUAUUGCACAAUGGGGGGAACCCUGAUGCAGCGACGCCGCGUGGGUGAAGGAGCGUUUCGGCGCGUAAAGCCCUAUCGGCAGGGAAGAAGGAGGACGGUACCUGACUAAGAAGCCCCGGCUAACUACGUGCCAGCAGCCGCGGUAAUACGUAGGGGGCAAGCGUUAUCCGGAUUUACUGGGUGUAAAGGGGGCGCAGACGGCAGCGCAAGCCAGGGGUGAAAGCCCGGGGCCCAACCCCGGGACUGCUCUUGGAACUGCGCGGCUGGAGUGCAGGAGGGGCAGGCGGAAUUCCUGGUGUAGCGGUGAAAUGCGUAGAUAUCAGGAGGAACACCGGUGGCGAAGGCGGCCUGCUGGACUGCGACUGACGUUGAGGCCCGAAAGCGUGGGGAGCAAACAGGAUUAGAUACCCGAGUA
rnacentral:rRNA from 1 species